AUUGCUGCAAGUGUAAAAAAAAAUCAAAAGUUGUUUCGAUUAAGCGCAAAUUGAAACUGUUUUGCUGUUCAGAUAUGCUAGUUGUCUUUUUUUUUUUUUUUGAGAAUUGCCGAUUGACCCAUCGCCCAAAAGGUGCCCAACCCAUUUCCGCUCGGAUGAGUCGACAUCUUUUUAUGCAAAAUCAGUGAUUGGAAAUAUUCGAUCGGUCACUCGGCUCGAUUCUAUCGAUUUUGAGCGAUUUUGACUGUGCGCUUUGUUCGGUUCGGCAACGGCCUUGCUCAGCGACCCCCUCAAUCAGCCCUGUUUCGUAAUCAUGAGAAUUCCCCGAGCAUAUUCAGCUUGACAACAAUCUCUAAGCUGGAUUAACGCUUUAAUAACUGUGCAUGCAAAUUAGUUUAUUGUUUUAUGCUUUUAUCUAUUAUAAGUUAUGGCUAAAACCCAGCAAAUUAAUAUGCAAAUUUUAUGGUCUAUUGAUGGCAGCUGUGGCUCAGACUCAAACAAAAUUGCAGCUGUCGAUGGGCUUAUAUAAAUAUGUUUAUUGCAAUUAAAUCCGGAAAGAUAA